rnacentral:rRNA from 1 species
CAGUAGCCACGGUAAUACGUAGGGUGCGAGCGUUAAUCGGAAUUACUGGGCGUAAAGCGUGCGCAGGCGGUUAUAUAAGACAGAUGUGAAAUCCCCGGGCUCAACCUGGGACCUGCAUUUGUGACUGUAUAGCUAGAGUACGGUAGAGGGGGAUGGAAUUCCGCGUGUAGCAGUGAAAUGCGUAGAUAUGCGGAGGAACACCGAUGGCGAAGGCAAUCCCCUGGACCUGUACUGACGCUCAUGCACGAAAGCGUGGGGAGCAAACAGGAUUAGAUACCCGCGUAGUCCCUGUCUCUUAUAC